GUAGGUGAACCUGCGGAAGGAUCAUUACCGUGGGGUUUCGGCCCCAUUGAGAUAGCACCCUUUGUUCAUGAGUACCCUUGUUUCCUCGGCGAGCGAACUCGCCGAGGACAUCAAAAAACCUUUGUAGUAGUAGUAUCUUCAGUAACAAAUAAAUAUUAAAACUUUCAACAACGGAUCUCUUGGUUCUG
rnacentral:misc_RNA from 1 species